CAUGACAUGACACCAUGUAUUCACGUAUAGUGUAAUGAUAUGCAGGAAUGAAAAAGAUGCCAACAUACCUGUAAUCCAGUGUCCCAUAAGUUUGAUUCGAUUUUUUGGCAGCUACCAUGAAGAGCAAAUGCACGAUUCACAAGUUUCGUUUCGCCAUUUUCAUUGUUGAUUUCGCAAGCGUCGAGCAAUCCCACGUGACCUCCUUUGGAUCAGUGAAAAGUGAAAAUUACUCGCGUCAUGAACAUAUAUGUUCAUCUCAGCGCAAAUCACGUUUUGCAUGCUAUAGAAGGAGGGGGGAUCAAUACUCUUCCUUUCGUGUUUUGAUAUCUUGUUGUUUUGCUACUCUCACUUCGGAGUUCGGAUGGUGUCUAGCAACGUUGGGUACCUCGUUUCUUGUGUGUGUGAGCGAGUGGUUGCUGUUUACGAUGUGUUCAUAUAUCGCUUUGUAGUGCUGUAAUGUGCAAAUUAGCGGACUUUAUAGCGGCUCUCUAUUUUCCGUCGUUGUCUUUCGAGCAGCGCCUGUUGUUCCGGUAAAAAUCGAGUUGAAUGAAUCGCCACAGCCCCAACGUAUAUCGCGCAGUGUUGACCAAGACUAAGUCAAGCAGGAAUUCUGGCAUGGUAUGUGGCUGCAUGAAGGAUUCCGAAAAAGAAAAACAACAACAUGGCUAAUAGGAUGUUGCUGCCCAGGGAGUCCUGGCGAAGAGGUUUACUCAUUCCAGAAGCAAGAAUUGUAUCAUUGUAAGGCGAAUGGAAAUAAACUGACAUCGACUGAGAUAGGUGCUCUGUCAUGGCCAAUGACUGUAGGAUGGCUCCAAAAGCGUCACAACAAAGCCAAUAUUCAUCUAGCUCUCUACAAGUAGCUAACUCCACAUAGUAGCCUGCUUCA